UACGUAGGGGGCUAGCGUUGUCCGGAAUCAUUGGGCGUAAAGCGCGCGCAGGCGGCCUUUUAAGUCUGAUGUGAAAGCCCACGGCUCAACCGUGGAAGGUCAUUGGAAACUGAAAGGCUUGAGUACAGAAGAGGAAAGCGGAAUUCCACGUGUAGCGGUGAAAUGCGUAGAGAUGUGGAGGAACACCAGUGGCGAAGGCGGCUUUCUGGUCUGUAACUGACGCUGAGGCGCGAAAGCGUGGGGAGCAAACAGG
rnacentral:rRNA from 1 species